CUCAGGCCACAUCGAAAGGCCGCCGAAAACUCGAAAGAAGAAAACGAUAUAUCUUCUCCCCGAAGAGGAAAAAAUUGAAACAUCUUUUUCACGAGUUCGUAGAAAAAUCUUACGCGAAGGUGUAAAUUAAAUAACAUCUCUUAUGGCUCUCUUCGAGGAUGUUGGCGCACAAUUAUUCUCCUCGAAGAAGCUAACGGAAGAAUUCAACCACGUUUGCAACGACCUUUGACGUGGCCUCGUGCGAAACAGGCCAGGCAAACGUAGAUACAAUGAAAACCGAGCUAUUCAACAGUCGUGUAUUUAAUAUCUGGAGCUAUAGAAACUAGGAUGCCGGCAAUAAUGCAAAGUUCGCGCUUUAAAUGCGAUGACCCUAAUUUUUAUUUACUACGCGGCGGUAUAUCGACGAUGAUGAUUCGCGAAUGAAGGUAUGCGAAUGAAGAUAUGCGAACUUGAUAUGCCAAUUAUAUCAACAAGAUCGAAAUUCUAUGGAAAGAGGCAAUGCGUCGGUGUUCGUAGAAAGUUUUGCUCGUAUUCAAAUGGACGAGGAUUUCGGUCCCAGAUGUCGGCCGAAACUGGCCACCC